rnacentral:rRNA from 1 species
AGAGUUUGAUCCUGGCUCAGAUUGAACGCUGGCGGAAUGCUUUACACAUGCAAGUCGAACGGUAGAGGGGGCAACCCCUUGAGAGUGGCGAACGGGUGAGUAAUGUAUCGGAACGUGCCCAGUCGUGGGGGAUAACGUAGUGAAAAUUACGCUAAUACCGCAUACGAUCUAUGGAUGAAAGCGGGGGAUCGCAAGACCUCGCGCGAUUGGAGCGGCCGAUAUCAGAUUAGGUAGUUGGUGGGGUAAAGGCUCACCAAGCCAACGAUCUGUAGCUGGUCUGAGAGGACGACCAGCCACACUGGAACUGAGACACGGUCCAGACUCCUACGGGAGGCAGCAGUGGGGAAUUUUGGACAAUGGACGCAAGUCUGAUCCAGCCAUUCCGCGUGCAGGACGAAGGCCUUCGGGUUGUAAACUGCUUUUGUACGGAACGAAAAAGCUCUUAUUAAUACUAGGAGUCCAUGACGGUACCGUAAGAAUAAGCACCGGCUAACUACGUGCCAGCAGCCGCGGUAAUACGUAGGGUGCAAGCGUUAAUCGGAAUUACUGGGCGUAAAGCGUGCGCAGGCGGUUAUAUAAGACAGAUGUGAAAUCCCCGAGCUUAACUUGGGAACUGCAUUUGUGACUGUAUAGCUAGAGUACGGCAGAGGGGGAUGGAAUUCCGCGUGUAGCAGUGAAAUGCGUAGAUAUGCGGAGGAACACCGAUGGCGAAGGCAAUCCCCUGGGCCUGUACUGACGCUCAUGCACGAAAGCGUGGGGAGCAAACAGGACUAGGUACCCUGGUAGUCCACGCCCUAAACGAUGUCAACUGGUUGUUGGGUCUUCACUGACUCAGUAACGAAGCUAACGCG